CCGUUGGGAUAAUGGGUUAGCACGAAUCAGAUCUUCUAACUGGAUUAGAUCUAGGGUUAGAAAAAUAUGGACUAAUUAAAAAAUUUGAUUAAAUCUAAUCAAAAAUUGAGUUAGAUUAUGUCAGAAUUUUUCUAAGAUCAACCAUAAUAGUUGUAGUUUGAUCGAGUCCAUAUUUUUUACCAUACCAAAUAGAUCUGAUUGUAGCUCAAUGGUUUAGCCUGAGUCUUUUGGUUGAUCGAAUCGAAAUUAAUCGAUCAUUUGAUGUCUAAGAUAAGUAUGACAAUUCGAUCAGUGAUUUUUAAUUGACAGACCGCUUAUCUGAUCAUUUCGAUAGUGUCUAGACAAGUCAAGGCAGACCUUCCUACCGAUCUCACUUAUCUGACCCAUUUGAUAGAUUAUGUUUUGAUUAAAUCACUAAUUGAUUCGAGUUGACUCAUGCCAGUAAGGUAAAUCAGUAUGAUUAAUUUAGGUGUCUCUGGAUUAGCUUGUCUCUAGUUCUCUUCAUAACUUGAUGAAGUAAGUGGAAGGAUUUAUAACUUGCUGGUUAAUCUCUUCUCUUAUUCUUAUUUCAUUAAAUCAAAUCAGUGUGACUGAUUUAGGUGCCAUUUGACCAGCUUGUCAUUAGUCCUCUUCAUGACUUGGUGAAGUCAGUGAGAGGAUUUAUAAC
rnacentral:lncRNA from 1 species